UACGAAGGGUGCAAGCGUUAAUCGGAAUUACUGGGCGUAAAGCGUGCGUAGGCGGUCUUUUAAGUCUGCUGUGAAAUCCCCGGGCUCAACCUGGGAAUGGCAGUGGAUACUGGGAGGCUAGAGUGUGUCAGAGGAUGGUGGAAUUCCCGGUGUAGCGGUGAAAUUCGUAGAUAUUGGGAAGAACACCAGUGGCGAAGGCGGCUCUCUGGACCGAUACUGACGCUGAGGCGCGAAAGCGUGGGGAGCAAACAGG
rnacentral:rRNA from 1 species